CCUCGGAUCAGGUAGGGAUACCCGCUGAACUUAAGCAUAUCAAUAAGCGGAGGAAAAGAAACCAACCGGGAUUGCCUCAGUAACGGCGAGUGAAGCGGCAAAAGCUCAAAUUUGAAAGCUGGCCCCUCCGGGGUCCGCAUUGUAAUUUGCAGAGGAUGCUUCGGGUGCGGCCCCUAUCUAAGUGCCCUGGAAUGGGCCGUCGGAGAGGGUGAGAAUCCCGUCUGGGAUGGGGUGUCCGCGUCCAUGUGAAGCUCCUUCGACGAGUCGAGUUGUUUGGGAAUGCAGCUCUAAAUGGGUGGUAAAUUUCAUCUAAAGCUAAAUACUGGCCGGAGACCGAUAGCGCACAAGUAGAGUGAUCGAAAGAUGAAAAGCACUUUGAAAAGAGAGUUAAACAGCACGUGAAAUUGUUGAAAGGGAAGCGCUUGCGACCAGACUCGCCUGCGGGGUUCAGCCGGCAUUCGUGCCGGUGUACUUCCCCGUGGGCGGGCCAGCGUCGGUUUGGGCGGCCGGUCAAAGGCCUCCGGAAUGUAGUGCCCUUCGGGGCACCUUAUAGCCGGGGGUGCAAUGCGGCCAGCCUGGACCGAGGAACGCGCUUCGGCUCGGACGCUGGCAUAAUGGUCGUAAACGACC
rnacentral:rRNA from 1 species